GAAAGGUCCAGAGGGGAGUGAGUGACAAGUCUGAGAAGGAAGCCUGAGUGAGCCUGACAGGUGGGCUGAGCAGCGGCUGCCAGGGCAGCGCGUGCUGCUCAGGUUUCCUACCCACCGAGGGCAGGGCAACGCCAGCCCUGGUGGCGACGCCUCGUGAGCGUGGGCAGCGGAGGAGGGAGCGGGGUGUGAGCCCUACGCUAGGCAGCUGCGACAGGCGGCGGGCGUGCGGCUCUCAGCCAGCCUGAAUCCCAUUGGCCCUCGGGACGCGCUCCGAGCUGCUCCUCUCCCCCAGGGCGCAGAGGCUGCCCACUGGUCCGCGAGCUCGGUUUGGAGAAAUUCUUUGCCUGGCUAGCAAGGAGAGCAAGACUGGGCUCUGGCGACUCCCUAGAGCACGCUUCAUGGUGGAGACUCAGGGAGGAGAAACCCAGGGAUGACAGGCAGAAGGCAACACGGGCACUGACAGGACUCCAAGAAGGCUACCGGCCACCAGCAGCCAGAUGAACAGGCUGGGUCAAAUGCUCUAGCUAGGUGCAUGCGCCUGGUGGAGCGCGCAGGUCGGACUGUGCUCUCCGCGGUCCGCCCUGCGCUGGUGCCCGGCCGGUACCAGGAUGGGCACUGGAGCCCCAGGGCCGCGCCCGCUACAGCCCGGCGUCCCUCCUGCGUCCUGAGCUCAUGGACGGCGACUCCAGGCUGGCAGCGGCGCGCCCCCGGGCUGUGAAUGCGACUCGCUCAUCGUCCGCGCUCCCCGCCCGCCCGCCCGCCGGGACGUGGUAGGGGAUGCCUAGCUCCUCUGCGAUGGCAGUUGGCGCGCUCUCCAGUUCCCUCUUGGUCACCUGCUGCCUGAUGGUGGCUCUGUGCAGUCCGAGCAUCCCGCUGGAGAAGCUGGCCCAAGCUCCUGAGCAACCCGGCCAGGAGAAGCGCGAGCACGCGUCUCGGGACAGCCCGGGGCGGGUGAGCGAGCUCGGGCGCGCCUCGAGGGACGAGGGCAGCAGUGCCCGGGACUGGAAGAGCAAGGGCAGCCGCGCGCUCUCGGGCCGGGAGGCGUGGAGCAAGCAGAAGCAGGCCUGGGCUGCCCAGGGCGGGAGCGCCAAGGCCGCGGACUGGCAGGUCCGGCCUCGCGGGGAUACCCCACAGGGGGAGCCCCCGGCCGCCGCCCAGGAAGCUAUCAGCCUGGAACUCGUUCCCACACCGGAGCUGCCUGAGGAAUACGCCUACCCGGACUACCGCGGGAAGGGCUGUGUGGACGAGAGUGGCUUCGUGUAUGCGAUCGGGGAGAAGUUCGCCCCAGGUCCCUCAGCCUGCCCGUGUCUGUGUACGGAGGAGGGGCCCCUUUGCGCACAGCCAGAGUGCCCACGGCUUCACCCGCGCUGCAUCCACGUCGACAACAGCCAGUGCUGUCCGCAGUGCAAGGAGAAGAAGAACUACUGCGAGUUCCGGGGCAAGACCUACCAGACUUUGGAGGAGUUUGUGGUGUCUCCAUGUGAACGGUGCCGCUGUGAAGCCAAUGGUGAAGUGCUGUGCACAGUGUCGGCGUGUCCCCAGACGGAAUGUGUGGACCCCGUAUAUGAGCCUGAUCAGUGCUGCCCGAUCUGCAAAAACGGUCCAAACUGCUUUGCAGAAACCGCUGUAAUCCCAGCUGGUAGAGAGGUGAAGACUGACGAGUGCACCAUAUGUCACUGCACUUAUGAAGAGGGCACGUGGAGAAUUGAACGGCAAGCCAUGUGCACGAGACAUGAGUGCAGACAAAUGUAGACUUCACAAUACAGAAACUCUCAUGUUUUUCUAGAAUAUUUUACUAAUGUGACAUUCUAGAUGACUCUGAGAAAUAUCAAUCAAAAACAGAAGACUUUGGAUAAGGAGUCAAGGAAAAUGGUUGGUACUUUUGUUUUUCUUGGUAACAAAUACAGCAAGAGACAGAAAUGGAUGUAUUUCAAAACAUCAAUAAGAACUUUGGGCAUACUCCCUCUCUAAAUAAAUGUGCUAUUUUCACAAUACCUUUAAUUCAUAUUAUGAGACAAUCACUUCUGCAAGCAUCACCUACUCAAUGCUGAGUUCACUUUACUGAAUCACAUCCAGUCCACUACACCUGUGGACCAAGCACUGGCUCAAACAGUGCAUCAAACCAAAGUUCCCACUGUUGUCUCCCUGCCUGUUUUUUUUUUCCCAGAGUUUUAGCAUAUUUCACACAUCUAGGCCAUGACCAUCCACAGAUCAAAUCCCUCACUGCUGUCAUGGUUAAGGUUAGAUGUGACAAUCAAUGGUCAGUUCUGAUGAAAGUCAAGACUAAUUGCUUUGAUGUAAAAGUUCUAAUACUGAAGGAAACUUCUAAUGAAAACCGUGGUACUUAUAAUAAAGGUGAUCAAGUUUACAGUUUUGGUAUUUCUUUGUUUAUACCAAUUUUAAAUAAAAACUUCAUAUCCUAGACUUUAUUUUAGGAAUGAGUGUAUCUGCAUAUCUCCAUGCUUCUGUGUAAUACAACUGAGCAGUGCAGCGGCGUCUAUGAAACUGAUGACAGGGAACCAAGUUGCGCACAUCGAGAUCCAGAAGCUCCAACUGUGUUGGAAAAGGGUUUAAAGGCAAUGGCUGGUGACCUUCAUCACAAUGGCAAACCUCACUCUCAUUUGGAAAGCACUUGCUGGUUUUGAUUUACCAUAAAAACAAGUAGGAACAAAACCUAAUUUUAAAUGCCUAAUGGUUAACUGAAUAAAUCUACCAACUUCUAAGUGAUACUGUCAAUCAUGGUGAGAAUGUUCACUCAAAGAUUCAGUAACAUGAAAACUUAAAUGAAGAUGUGCUCCAAGUGUUUGGCCUGCUGACAGUUUAUGAUGCAUGAAACGCAUACCUGUGAUUCUCUAAUGAGAAAAUAAAACUCAUCAUACAGGCAUGGUAAUAUCAAGUACAAUCGAAAUAUACCUAACAUCAUUUAUUAAGGUAUUGUUGUAGCCUGUUAAAAUAAUUCUAAGUAUCUCCCACUUUAGUUAGAAUUCAGUUUUCAGGAAGUAGAAACACUUUCCAGUUUUAUUUAAUAUUUAAUAGUAUUUUAUUUACUAACAUUUACUGUUUUUUCUUCAAUUUCUGGAAUUUACAUUUGACUUUAUUUCUAGAUAAAUUUAUGAGAAUGUUCAUUUCCCUAUUCUUUUGUUUUACAUUGAAAAAUUAAAUGCAGUUCUAUUUUUGUCUCUGGGGUUAUUUUGAUUGCCUUAUUUAAACUCACAAUGCCUACAAAAGUGGCUAGCACUGGCCCUACUUGGGACAUUCGAGAAUUUGAGAAAAUGCCUGAAGUUUCAACCUAGUGAAUGAGUGGGCAGGAAUCCAUGUCCGCUUUAGACCAGAACCUGUGGCACAAAGUCUUCUCAUUCAUGUUUAGACACUGACCUCUAGAAAGGAGCCAGCAACAUCCCAAGAAACACAGGAGGGAAUGGACAGCACCAGUCUCUCCUAACUCAGCUGCAGUCCUGAAACUUGUCAGCUAAGAGCUGCUCCUCCCAAAAGUGUUGAUGGCCCCCCUUUUCUACUUGCCACAUGUUUUAAUUUCUAAUUAAACUGUAUUCAUGUCUUAUUAAAGUGGAUUUUCAAACAACAAUAGAUUUUUAUGGUUUUGUUUAUAAUUCUUGUACUGAGUUUAUAAAAUACGACCACAUAUUAUAAUCCUUUCUGUACUGGUGACUGACUUUUCGUGCUGUGGAAGAUAUCUGACACAAACACUAUACAGGAUGCUGUAUUUAUCUUUGCUUACAGCUUCAGACGUUCCAUCUCAUGGUCGCUAGCUCCACAAUACAUUGCUGUGGUCGAAGCUUGGCCUUGGGCAGGUUCUCACCUCUGGCAGCAAAAAGAAAUGAAACAAGCAUGCCCCCAGGGAACAUACUUCCUCCCUCAGCCUUGUCUCUCAAAGUUUUUAUCAGCUUCCAAAAUAUGUCUAGGAAGCAUUCAUUGAGCAAGUGCCACGAAAUAGUCAACAAAUGCGCCUGUGGGGGACAUUUCAUACUCAAAUCUUAAUGGACAUAUAUUAACAUAAUAUAUAAAUAAUAAUAUUUAAAUAUUAUUACAUAAUAACAUUAUUUAUAUAUUAACAUAAUAUAUAAACUAGCAUAUAUUAGCUGAUGAGGAAAACUAUCCUUUAUUAGCUGACAAUCUAUGGAAAAUACUACAUUUUCGAUUCUAGUGUCUGCCUGCUAUCAUCAACUCUGCUGUGAGAAAAACAUCCAGUUUUGGUGAUAUCACUGAGGUCAAAGCCCAGAAUAUGCACUAUAUUCACAGGGAAUUCGCAGGCUGAUUCAAAGAAGGGAUAGAGCAUCCUCCAUUCAGCAUUUUCCCAAGGGGAGUAGUGUGAGCCCUAGCCAAUCUCUCACUUAUUCCACAGUUAAUGACACACUCUGUGUUCUAAGGCCAUCAGGCCAGGGUAGUGAUCAGUGUGUACUCUUUGGCUCCAUAGACCCCUUACUCCAGCAUGCUCCCUGAAGGCUGUAAGUCAAUGCAAAUAAGUGAUUGUACCAAUUGCCAUUCUUAGCUUUUACAUUCAGGUCAAUACCUUAUACCAGUAACAUUAUUUACCAUUUAAAAACAAUGUGUUGGCUACCUAAUUAUAUACAGCAGCUAGACAUAAAAUCAGGAAGUAAACAUUACAAAGCAGCAAUGCUUAGGAAAGCUAAGUGCCUACUGACUAUGACUUACUUUUUUUCACGCAGCUUUCUGAAACUUUGGAUUAAACUCAUUCAGUAGCAGCCUGCCCAUGUUUGCACACUGACUGGCUUGUAGUUUUAAGUCUAUUAGUGAUCAAACAGAAACAACGAUAAAAAAAAAAACCUCCCAAUUAAAACAAUGCCAACAGUUGUGGAGGUGACUAGACAGGUUGGACUUUGCAUUACCAGGGUCCACACCCUGGCCAUGCCCAUGUAUUCUCUAUUUCUGACCCAGGAAUAUAUUCCUACUUUGAAAUAGGUAUGGUUUCAAUAAAAGUAGUUGAUAUAAAAAUAUUAUUUUCUGUAUCUUUUUCUAGGUUAUAUGUUAACCACAGCCAAUUGAUAUAUUUAAAAAUUCACAUAUAUAUGCAUGUAACCCUUAAAUCAGAAACAGAAUUGGAUUUCUGUUUAAGGCAAGGUUAAAUGUCUUAAAAAUAUACAAUGGGCUUUUUUGUACACUAAAAAUUAUAAUGA